UCAUACGUAGGACCCAAGCGUUAUCCGGAAUUACUGGGCGUAAAGAGUUGCGUAGGUGGCAGAGUAAGUAGGAAGUGAAAGCGUUCGGCUCAACCGAAUAUACAUUUCUUAAACUGCUCAGCUAGAGAACGAGAGAGGUAAUUGGAAUUCCCAGUGUAGGAGUGAAAUCCGUAGAUAUUGGGAGGAACACCGAUGGCGUAGGCAGAUUACUGGCUCGUUUCUGACACUAAGGCACGAAAGCGUGGGUAGCAAACAGG
rnacentral:rRNA from 1 species